rnacentral:rRNA from 1 species
UAGGGAAUCUUCCGCAAUGGGCGAAAGCCUGACGGAGCAACGCCGCGUGAGUGAUGAAGGUCUUCGGAUCGUAAAACUCUGUUAUUAGGGAAGAACAAAUGUGUAAGUAACUAUGCACGUCUUGACGGUACCUAAUCAGAAAGCCACGGCUAACUACGUGCCAGCAGCCGCGGUAAUACGUAGGUGGCAAGCGUUAUCCGGAAUUAUUGGGCGUAAAGCGCGCGUAGGCGGUUUUUUAAGUCUGAUGUGAAAGCCCACGGCUCAACCGUGGAGGGUCAUUGGAAACUGGAAAACUUGAGUGCAGAAGAGGAAAGCGGAAUUCCAUGUGUAGCGGUGAAAUGCGCAGAGGUAUGGAGGAACACCAGUGGCGAAGGCGACUUUCUGGUCUGUAACUGACGCUGAUGUGCGAAAGCGUGGGGAUCAAACAGG